rnacentral:rRNA from 1 species
UGGGGAAUCUUGCGCAAUGCACGACAGUGUGACGCAGCAACGCCGCGUGGGGGAAGAAGGCCUUCGGGUUGUAAACCCCUUUCAGGAGGGACGAAGCUUGGCGGGUUAACAGCCGGCCCAAGUGACGGUACCUCCACAAGAAGCCCCGGCUAACUACGUGCCAGCAGCCGCGGUAAUACGUAGGGGGCUAGCGUUGUCCGGAAUUAUUGGGCGUAAAGAGCGUGUAGGCGGUUCGAUAAGUCCGCUGUGAAAGUCGAGGGCUCAACCCUCGAAUGCCGGUGGAUACUGUCAAGCUAGAGUCCGGAAGAGGCGAGUGGAACUCCUGGUGUAGCGGUGAAAUGCGCAGAUAUCAGGAAGAACACCAAUGGCGAAGGCAGCUCGCUGGGACGGUACUGACGCUGAGACGCGAAAGCGUGGGGAGCGAACAG